AUACGUAGGGUGCAAGCGUUAAUCGGAAUUACUGGGCGUAAAGCGUGCGCAGGCGGUUUUGUAAGACAGUGGUGAAAUCCCCGGGCUCAACCUGGGAACUGCCAUUGUGACUGCAAGGCUGGAGUGCGGCAGAGGGGGAUGGAAUUCCGCGUGUAGCAGUGAAAUGCGUAGAUAUACGGAGGAACACCGAUGGCGAAGGCAAUCCCCUGGGCCUGCACUGACGCUCAUGCACGAAAGCGUGGGGAGCAAACAGGAUUAGAUACCCUGGUAGUCCACGCCCUAAACGAUGUCAACUGGUUGUUGGGGAUUUAUUUUCUCAGUAACGAAGCUAACGCGUGAAGUUGACCGCCUGGGGAGUACGGCCGCAAGGUUAAAACUCAAAUGAAUUGACGGGG
rnacentral:rRNA from 1 species